rnacentral:rRNA from 1 species
GACGAACGCUGGCGGCGUGCUUAACACAUGCAAGUCGAACGAGAGCGUAGAGACAGCUUGCUUUUUCUACAAUCUAGUGGCAAACGGGUGAGUAACGCGUAAACAACCUGCCCUACGGAUGGGGACAACAGCUGGAAACGGCUGCUAAUACCGAAUACGUUCCGAAAGUCGCAUGACUAUCGGAAGAAAGGAUGGCCUCUAUUUAUAAGCUAUCGCCGGAGGAGGGGUUUGCGUCUGAUUAGCUAGUUGGAGGGGUAACGGCCCACCAAGGCGACGAUCAGUAGCCGGUCUGAGAGGAUGAACGGCCACAUUGGAACUGGGACACGGUCCAGACUCCUACGGGAGGCAGCAGUGGGGAAUCUUCCGCAAUGGGCGAAAGCCUGACGGAGCAACGCCGCGUGAGUGAAGACGGCCUUCGGGUUGUAAAGCUCUGUUAUACGGGACGAAUAAUCUUGUGGUUAAUACCCAUGAGAAGUGACGGUACCGUAAGAGAAAGCCACGGCUAACUACGUG